rnacentral:rRNA from 1 species
AUGGCUUCCUCACUCGGUGGUCCGAGGCUCAAAAGUUUUGCACAACGACCUGCCAUUGGUACUCGAGGUGGCAUCUUGUUGCUGUGGGACGAAAACAUCGUCGAGGUUAAGGACAUUAGCACUGGAUCUUUUUUCCUGUCCUCUACAAUCACCAUUGCCUGUAACAACACUUCUUUCAAGUUCACAACCGUCUAUGGGCCAACCCGAAGUAACCUCAAAGACUCUUUUUUCCAAGAGCUGAUCAGCGAGAAGCCAACCCCUUGUACUAGAUGGCUGCUUGCUGGUGAUUUUAAUCAGAUUUAUCGGGCAAGCGACAAGAAUAGAGCUAACAGUGACCGGAGCUGCAUGAAACGCCUUCGCAACACCCUCAAUACUUGUGAGCUCAAAGAAAUACACUUGCAAAACAGGAAAUUCACUUAGAGUAAUGAGCAAGGCGCUCCAACGCUAAGCAAAGGACUAUUUUCCUGCAAUGAAGAGUGAGACAUCGAUUUUGGCAAUCAUUUGCUGCAUGCCCUCUCCUCGUCCCUUUCUGACCACUGCCCUCUCCUACUUGCUAAUGACCAAGGGCCGCCGAAGACUAAGUGUUUCCGCUUUGAAAUUUUUUGGAUCAAAAUGCCUGGCUUCAAGGAGAUCGUGCAAGGUGCUUGGAACCAAAAUGUGAACCAUGUAGACCCGUAUCAUAUUUUAUUUCACAAGUUGAAAAAGACUAGCCAAGCCCUGAGAAAAUGGAGCAAGACAAUUUUUUCACACUCCAAGGUGCAGUUACACAUGGCUCUGUAGGUCAUUCUUCGUCUGGAUGUGGCACAAGAGCUCAGGCCUCUUAGUGUGGAAGAACGUGUUAUU